rnacentral:lncRNA from 1 species
UUUCUGUUCUUAAUUGGAUAUCUGGAUACUGACUUGAAUACUGUUUGGACAUAUACAGGCCAAUGCUGUCUUCGGACGUUUGCGUCCAAGACACAUAAAUGGGGAAGCCGAGGAAGAUUUCAUGAGACAAGAAAUCAAUAUGCUGAAAUUGACCUUGGCUCGAGAAAAAACUGAUCACGAAGACGCUCUUCACACCAUCAAUGACCUUCAGCGAGACUUAGAUCGAGCCAAGAUGGACCUGAAGACGUCUGAUGAUGAACUAAGGGCCACAAGGGAUGGGCUGGCCGCAUCCGAAGCCAGCCAACAAACUUUAACCAAUCUGAA